rnacentral:rRNA from 1 species
CUACGGGGGCAGCAGCCGAGAAUAGUCUACAAUGGGGGAAACCCUGAUAGUGCGACGCCGCGUGAACGAAGAAGCUUUUCGGAGUGUAAAGUUCUUUUCUGUAUGAGCAAUGCUUUAUUGUUUAAGAGAUAAUAGAGAGAGAUAUUAGUACAGGAAUAAGCCACGGCUAACUCCGUGCCAGCAGCCGCGGUAAUACGGGGGUGGCAAGCGUUGUCCGGAAUUACUAGGCGUAAAGGGCAGGUAGGCGGAUAUUCAAGUCAGGCGUUAAAGGCAUCAGCUCAACUGGUGUACGGCGUUUGAAACUGGAUAUCUAGAGUCAGGUAGAGGUAGUUGGAAUUCCUAGUGUAGCGGUGGCAUGCGCAGAGAUUAGGAAGAACACCAAAGGCGAAGGCAAUCUACUGGGCCAUGACUGACGCUAAACUGCGAAGGUGUGGGUAUCAAACAGGAUUAGAUACCCGAGUAGUC